rnacentral:rRNA from 1 species
UGGGGAAUCUUGGACAAUGGGGGCAACCCUGAUCCAGCCAUGCCGCGUGGGUGAUGAAGGCCUUAGGGUCGUAAAGCCCUUUCGCCGGGGAAGAUAAUGACGGUACCCGGUAAAGAAGCCCCGGCUAACUCCGUGCCAGCAGCCGCGGUAAUACGGAGGGGGCUAGCGUUGUUCGGAAUGACUGGGCGUAAAGCGCGCGUAGGCGGAUCAGAAAGUUGGGGGUGAAAUCCCGGGGCUCAACCUCGGAAUGGCCUUCAAAACUCCUGGUCUUGAGUUCGAGAGAGGUGAGUGGAAUUCCGAGUGUAGAGGUGAAAUUCGUAGAUAUUCGGAGGAACACCAGUGGCGAAGGCGGCUCACUGGCUCGACACUGACGCUGAGGUGCGAAAAGCGUGGGGAGCAAACAGGAUUAGAUACCCCUGGUAGUCCACGCCGUAAAACGAUGAAUGCCAGACGUCGGGGGGCUUGCCCUUCGGUGUCACACCUAACGGAUUAAGCAUUCCGCCUGGGGGAGUACGGUCGCAAGAUUAAAACUCAAAUGAAUUGACGGGGUCAUAGCUGUUUCCUG